rnacentral:rRNA from 1 species
AGUGAACGCUGGCGGUAGGCCUAACACAUGCAAGUCGAACGGCAGCACAGUAAGAGCUUGCUCUUACGGGUGGCGAGUGGCGGACGGGUGAGGAAUACAUCGGAAUCUACUUUUUCGUGGGGGAUAACGUAGGCAAACUUACGCUAAUACCGCAUACGACCUACGGGUGAAAGCAGGGGAUCUUCGGACCUUGCGCGAUUGAAUGAGCCGAUGUCGGAUUAGCUAGUUGGCGGGGUAAAGGCCCACCAAGGCGACGAUCCGUAGCUGGUCUGAGAGGAUGAUCAGCCACACUGGAACUGAGACACGGUCCAGACUCCUACGGGAGGCAGCAGUGGGGAAUAUUGGACAAUGGGCGCAAGCCUGAUCCAGCCAUACCGCGUGAGUGAAGAAGGCCUUCGGGUUGUAAAGCCCUUUUGUUGGGAAAGAAAAGCAGCAGGUUAAUACCCCGCUGUUCUGACGGUACCCAAAGAAUAAGCACCGGCUAACUUCGUG